CAUCUUGUGUCCAGAUCGAACAAACAAGAGCUAGGCAGGGAAAAUCCAUAUAUGGGUCGAAGUCAGAAACGAUAUAGGCGUCCAAGGCUUCUAUCCAACGCCGGCGAAGUUGCCCGCACUUGCACCGUUCACUCUUCCGAAUUGAAGAGGAACGUCGCCCAGCACACCAACGGCGGCGGGCUUCGAGCAAAUCCUCGUCCAGCUCACCCAGAUAGACAGAAGCCCGUGACUUUGGCGUUGUCCGCCUCUGCUAUUUGCUCUAGGCGUCCGUGGCUCCGUGAUCCCCUCCGGUACGCACCAUCCCAUCCCCGUCGAUUUGACACUGUUGCCGCUUCUAGGAGAGGUUGGCCCAGAGAGGGGGUCCCUUGCAAUCCCUCUCUUUCGGGCUCUUCAAUGGCUGUUGCUCCAGCCGUCGCCAGCGCCCAACGGGCCAGCUCAGGAGGCGCCCCAUGAACCCAGCCUGCCGCUGAACCAGCACAAAGGCGAGAGAGAGACGGUGUCGAGGGAGUGAGUGGAUGGAUCCACGGGAUGCACUCACAGGGACAAAUCCGAGUUCCGGCCGUCAAAGCUGAGGCGCGAGCAGGGAGGAGAUCAUGUGUUGGGAUGCGUGCGCGUGUGGUGGGGCUGGGCUGCCGGCGGACAUACUGGAGCUGGGUUGACUGCUUGCGACCGUGCACAAUGGGGCUUGGCUCGGCUGGGCAGCGCUUGAUGAGGUAGAGCGAAAGGCAGGGACACGGUGGUGGGAGAGGCUCAGCAGAGGUGAUGUGUAUGCGUCGCAGAGAGAUGCAAUCGAGGAGUUGUCUGGCGCCUUGGAUCAGCCCGUGCGGGUGGUCUGUGCUGGGAGGGCUAGAGAGGAGAGAUUGAGGAUUAAGGGGGGAGAGAGAGAUCUGUAAUUGAGCAGCAUGCCAUCGGGAUCUUCUCCUGUUCCACGCCAGGUUCUUGCUAUAAUUUCCUGCUCUCCUGAUUGUAGCGGGCUUCUCUGUAACGAUUUUGUUAGGAAAAUUAAUAGGCUUGAUCUUGCUACUGCAUUGUGCCGAAGCAGAUCUAACUGCCAUGUUAUCAAGUUACAGUCAGUUCAGUUUGCUGAAAAAACUACAGUGCUUCAAGAAUUUGGCAGCAGGUCCAUUGGAAUCUCGACUCUCUAAAGAAACAUGCGUCUAAAUGCACAAUUGGUUCAUGGAGUUUGCAUAACAUAUUUCUUUCCAGAGCUGCAUGAAAUAGCGAGGAAAAAAGUGUGGGUAUGUUAUUUCGAACAACAAUGACAGCAACUGGAUGCAAUUUUCAGUAGCACAUGUUGAAUAACUUGACGAAGCAGCUACCCCUGAGAUGGUCUGCAUUUGAAAGCAAUCUUCUUCUCUAGCUAAGCAAAGUGAUACGAGGAGGAAUUGGCAAUCAAGGUGGCUGUGGCUCCACCUGGACAUAGUGGACCUCCCACUGGACAGAAUCAGAGUGGGACAAUAUUGGUUCAAUGGUCGACAGCGACUGUACGUGUACAGACAAGUAGAAGAUGACGGAAGCUACAUAGGAGUUCGAUAGAGUGGCUAGGACAGCUUGCGGAGGGGAGCAACAGGCAUGAAUUGUACGUGAAGCAGAGCAUAAGAUGAUGUGAUAUUCGACGAACUGAGCAGGAGGAACAAGGGAGAGCAGUAAAAAUGUGGAGAAGCUCCCCCUAUUGCUCUAUCCCUAUCCAUCGUGGUUGUGGGUGUGCCCUCUCAAAGGUGUUUCAUUUCGUUCUUACCAACAUGAUUUUAAUUGUUUUGUUCCUCAAGUUGAGGAUGCUAUUCUAGCCUAAAGGAACAACUAUUAUCUUAUACUCAUUAUAUAUUUGAUGGGUACUUAUCCAUCUUGAAACUGCAACUGCAAGAUCCAGUGUCGCCUACACGUGUUUCAAAUUUUUAUACGGUAGGCGGAGAAGCUUUGUGCAUGUGCUGACCACAAAGAUUGUUGUUGUUUGUAGCACGGGCUACUUUAUGCGUUGUCUAAAUUUUUAGUUUGGCUUCUCACACCAUGUUUUGCUUAGCUAAAUCUUUGUGUGUGUUCGUGCUGCAAGCUAUAAUGCAUCAGUGGACGAGUGUGGUUUACAAGGAGAACGAGACAGAUGCGAUCGCUUGGUUUUCUGCUUUCAGAUCGCCGGGCUUGCUGUUCAUGGUCGUCAUGUUCGUGAACGGCGGGUACGCGACCAACUCGAUAUAGUUCAUGCCGUGGUGGAUGGUCAAGUACAGGGGCUGUCCAAGCACAAUGUUGUGGACAUGGUCGAGGCAGUGUUGUUCUUCUUAGCUUGUCACGGUGGGUAUCUGCCUCGACAAGGAGUAUCGUCCACGAGGUCGUGCCAAGGUCGCCUCUCCAUGGCCGGAGGGGGAGGAAACGGGUGACGACAGCAAUGGCAGUUCUCGGACCACUCGGUCGGACCGGGCGAAACCCUGACAAGACCAGUACCGUUCGGGCGGAAUUAUACAGACCGGACCGGCUAAAUAUACCAGCAGGCUGAGACCGUGCGGUCCUGUUCUGCAUAGAAUUGGUUUCCGGAGGUGUGGCUGGCUCAUCGGGUAGGAAACACAAGCAUAGAAAACCUUUAUACGAAAAUAUUAGAUCAAUUCUACUAAUUUACUAUGUAUCUCAGAUAGCCCAUAUGCGAAAAGGGAACCAUGCAUGAUCGGGAUAUCAUAUUACGGUGUUUCCCGUAUUAUUGAUUUCAUUUGUUUCAAGACAAA